rnacentral:tRNA from 1 species
GUCCUUUUCGUCUAGAGGUCUAGGACCGUGCCUUUUCAAGGCAUUAACAGGGGUUCGAUUCCCCUAAAGGAUA